rnacentral:rRNA from 1 species
GACUGUACAAAGGUAGCAUAAUCAUUUGUCUCUUAAUUGGGGACUGGUAUGAAAGGUCGGAUGAAAAAUUAACUUUCUUAUUUUUAUAUAAAAAAAUUAAUUUUUGUGUCAAAAAGCAUAAAUAUUUGUGGAGGACGAGAAGACCCUAUAGAAUUUUAUUUAUUCAUUUUUAUAUUUUAAUUUAGUUUUAUUUUAUACCCAAAAAUGAAUAAAUUAUGUUGGGGUGACAAAAAAAAUAUUAUAACUUUUUUAUUUUGGCUCAUAUAUAUAUGAAUUUUGACCCUAUAAUAUAGGUUAUAAGAUUAAAUUACCUUAGGGAUAACAGCGUUAUUUUUUUGGAGAGUACUUAUCGAUAAAAAAGUUUGCGACCUCGAUGUUGGAUUAAAAUAAGGAGCAGGGGUAGAAUAUUGCUUAUCUAGGUCUGUUCGACCUAUAAAAUUUUACA